rnacentral:rRNA from 1 species
CCUACGGGAGGCAGCAGUGGGGGAUAUUGCACAAUGGGGGGAACCCUGAUGCAGCGACGCCGCGUGUGUGAAGGAGUGCUUCGGCAUGUAAAGUCCUAUCGGCAGGGAAGAAGCAAGACGGUACCUGACUAAGAAGCCCCGGCGAACUACGGGGCAGCAGCCGCGGUAAGACGUAGGGGGCGAGCGUUAUCCGGAUUCACUGGGUGUAAAGGGAUCGUAGACGGCCAUGCAAGCCAGAGGUGAAAGCCCGGGGCCCAACCCCGGGACUGCCCUUGGGACUGUGCGGCUAGAGUGCGGGAGGGGCAGGCGGAAUUCCUGGUGUAGCGGUGAAAUGCGUAGAGAUCAGGAGGAACACCGGUGGCGAAGGCGGCCUGCUGGACGGCGACUGACGUUGAGGCUCGAAAGCGUGGGGAGCGAACAGGAUUAGAUACCCCAGUAGUC